AGCGAACGCUGGCGGCAGGCUUAACACAUGCAAGUCGAACGCACCGCAAGGUGAGUGGCAGACGGGUGAGUAACACGUGGGAACGUGCCCUUCGGUUCGGAAUAACUCAGGGAAACUUGAGCUAAUACCGGAUACGUCCGAGAGGAGAAAGAUUUAUCGGCGAAGGAUCGGCCCGCGUUGGAUUAGCUAGUUGGCGGUGUAAUGGACCACCAAGGCUACGAUCCAUAGCUGGUCUGAGAGGAUGAUCAGCCACACUGGGACUGAGACACGGCCCAGACUCCUACGGGAGGCAGCAGUGGGGAAUCUUGGACAAUGGGCGCAAGCCUGAUCCAGCCAUGCCGCGUGAGUGAAGAAGGCCUUAGGGUUGUAAAACUCUUUCGCCGGAGAAGAUAAUGACGGUAUCCGGAGAAGAAGCCCCGGCUAACUUCGUGCCAGCCGCCGCGGUAACAC
rnacentral:rRNA from 1 species